CUGGCGGCAUGCUUUCCGAUGCGAGUCCGACAGCAGCACACAGAAGCUUGCUUCUUGGGAGGCGAGUGGCGAACGGGUGAGUAACAUAUCGGAACGUACCGAGUAGUGGGGGAUAACUACUCGAAAGAUUAGCUAAUACCGCCUACGUCUUGAGAGAGAAAGCAGGGGAUCUUCUGACCUUGCGCUAUUCGAGCGGCCGAUAUCUGAUUAGCUAGUUGGUGGGGUAAAGGCCUACCAAGGCGACUAUCAGUAGCGGGUCUGAGAGGAUGAUCCGCCACACUGGGACUGAGACACGGCCCAUACUCCUACGGGAGGCAGCAGUGAGGAAUUUUGGACAAUGGGCGCAAGCCUGAUCCAGCCAUGCCGCGUGUCUGAAGAAGGCCUUCGGGUAGUAAAGGACUUUUGUCAGGGAAGAAAAGGCUGGUGCUAAUAUCGCUGACUGAUGACGGUACCUGAAGAAUAAUCACCGGCUAACUACAUGCCAGCCAGCCGCGGUAAU
rnacentral:rRNA from 1 species